rnacentral:rRNA from 1 species
UACGUAGGGUGCAAGCGUUAAUCGGAAUUACUGGGCGUAAAGCGUGCGCAGGCGGUUUUGUAAGUUUGUCGUGAAAUCCCCGGGCUCAACCUGGGAAUGGCGAUGAAGACUGCAAGGCUAGAAUCUGGCAGAGGGGGGUGGAAUUCCGCGUGUAGCAGUGAAAUGCGUAGAGAUGCGGAGGAACACCGAUGGCGAAGGCAGCCCCCUGGGCUAACACUGACGCUCAGGCACGAAAGCGUGGGGAGCAAACAGG